rnacentral:rRNA from 1 species
AAUAGAUACCUGGUAGUCCACGCCGUAAACGAUGAGUGCUAAGUGUUAGAGGGUUUCCGCCCUUUAGUGCUGCAGCUAACGCAUUAAGCACUCCGCCUGGGGAGUACGGCCGCAAGGCUGAAACUCAAAGGAAUUGACGGGGGCCCGCACAAGCGGUGGAGCAUGUGGUUUAAUUCGAAGCAACGCGAAGAACCUUACCAGGUCUUGACAUCCUCUGCCAACCCUAGAGAUAGGGCGUUCCCCUUCGGGGGGACAGAGUGACAGGUGGUGCAUGGUUGUCGUCAGCUCGUGUCGUGAGAUGUUGGGUUAAGUCCCGCAACGAGCGCAACCCUUGAUCUUAGUUGCCAGCAUUCAGUUGGGCACUCUAAGGUGACUGCCGGUGACAAACCGGAGGAAGGUGGGGAUGACGUCAAAUCAUCAUGCCCCUUAUGACCUGGGCUACACACGUGCUACAAUGGAUGGUACAAAGAGCUGCGAACCCGCGAGGGUAAGCCAAUCUCAUAAAGCCAUUCUCAGUUCGGAUUGU